GAUGAACGCUGGCGGCGUGCCUAAUACAUGCAAGUCGAGCGAACGGACGAGAAGCUUGCUUUUCUGAUGUUAGCGGCGGACGGGUGAGUAACACGUGGAUAACCUACCUAUAAGACUGGGAUAACUUCGGGAAACCGGAGCUAAUACCGGAUAAUAUUUUGAACCGCAUGGUUCAAAAGUGAAAGACGGUCUUGCUGUCACUUAUAGAUGGAUCCGCGCUGCAUUAGCUAGUUGGUAAGGUAACGGCUUACCAAGGCAACGAUGCAUAGCCGACCUGAGAGGGUGAUCGGCCACCACGGAACUUGGACACGGUCCAGACUCCUACGGGAGGCAGCAGUAGGGAAUCUUCCGCAAUGGGCGGAAGCCUGACGGAGCAACGCCGCGUGAGGGAUGAAGGUCUUCGGAUCGGAAAACUCUGUUAUUAGGGAAGAACAUAUGUGUAAGUAACUGUGCACAUCUUGACGGUACCUAAUCAGAAAGCCACGGCUAACUACGUG
rnacentral:rRNA from 1 species